GCUCCCUCAAGCCGUUUUCAAUCAGGUGGAGACUGCUCUGCUCAUCCCAGAGGCCUCAGUUAUGGGUACCAUGUUUCAGCUCAGAGAAGUAGAGAGCUGGAAAGCGUAUUGCUUCCAUUUUUACAAAAAAGAAAAAGCAUGUGGAUAAACUGCAAACUAACUGCUUUUGUGAACUCAUCCAAAACUAAGGUCACAGGGUAAAUAACUAAUACAAAACCUGAAGGGAGAUAGAGACCCACAAGGUGAAAAAAGAGCUGAGCAUUUGCUUAAAUCAAACAGUCAAUGGAUGUCAAAUGCCACUUAAGCUGGGAAAAUGGUAAACUACUAAUAAACAGAAAGGGUGAGUAUAGGCUAGGGGGAGAGCAUGAAGCCCGGGGGACCACAGACUUAGGAGGUCUCACGCCCUCUUUUCCUCAAGGAAUCCAAUAAGCACAAACAAUAAAGAUUGAAGGGAGUCCCGAGAAAGCUCCCUCACAGCUCCAGCCAGGAGAGAGACUGGCGGCUACUGUCUACAUUAGACCCAUCUGCCUUUUGUCCACCAUAGAACAAAAGCCACAAGCUAUACGGGAAAAGACAUCAGCGAGCUGACAGAAAUACACUGCAGCUAGGGGACGCCAACAGAGGGGACAAAAAAGCUAUACCAAGGGGAGGAGAGUCACAAUCUGUACUGGGCCCAGCACGACACCAGAAGGAGGGCAGGAAUCCUGGUGAAGGUCACAGCCCCGAGACCCGAGUCACACUGUCUGAGACAGGUUUAAUCACUUCAGUCAACGCUGCCUCCUCCAGUACACACCACCAUCAUGAUGACAAACUCAAGGAACGUGACAGUGAAAUACAGCUGGGAGAGCUCCAAGAGACAGUUUUUGGGGAAAAGCACAAAACAAAGACCCAAAGCUAAACAGAGAGACAAAAAGACGGACCACUAGAGAAACGCGUACCUGCUUAUCCACUGCGGGUAAACAGAGCAAGAGUAAAUUUUAAAUCCACUCUUUCUAGAUUAAUACAAAACCUCAUAUUAAAGAUCUAACAGAAUGAAAGACAUGCCCAUGUCCAAUUAUUAAAGUAAUUAUUAAAAAAAUAGUGCAUAUCGCCUCUUCUCUAUGAUAUGUCCAAGUUAUAAAUAUAUAUGUAUAUAAAAGGCAACACAUGACACGCAGCUGCAGAGACAAAGCAAAGAGUCCUCAUCUUCAAGGCAGCCGGGAUCAGGGCAGGCAUCACCUGCAGAGGAACAAGGAUAAAAAUCACAGCAGACGUCUCUUCAGAAACCAGGUAAUCAGGAAGGCAGUAAUCUAAAAGUGACUUACCUUGCUUACUCACUUACUUUAAAAUCUUUGAUUCUAUAUGUAAUCUCAUGUCUUUCCCAAAAGGUACAUUAGCUAUAGUGGAACUCAGAAUAAACUUAUAGCCUGGGUAAAAGUUAAAAUAUCAACCAGGUGAUAGGAAUGUGGAUUUUCUGCUCCUAAGAUACUUGGAGAUGAUCUUCAAUUAUGAGACAUUAAUCAGAAACAAAUUAUGCUUCCUACUGGAGAACUGAACACUUUUCAAUUACCUUUGGGUCUGGAGGUAGUUCCGUUUCUCCACUUGUAGAAACCAAUCAAAGCUGUAGUAUCAUUAAGGGUCUUAUUUCACAGACAAGUGAUUGUCCCAGACAAUUAAGCACCUGCAAUACGCUGUCUGCAAAGAACUUGACUGCCAAAUGUCUUCACCAUGCAAACGUGAUGGAAAGUGUAAAGCUGAGCAUCUUCUCUGCAGGGAAACAAUUUCCAAUCUAGUUUGUAGAUCUUAAUGGCCUUUGAUUUCAGUUGAGAUUUUUACUUGUUAAAUGGAAUAAAGAAUUGACAGCCAUUUUCGUAAAUGUUCAGUGUCAUUUUUAAAAAGAAAAAUAUCAAAUUUAGCUUUUAUUCCAGGGGACAGUUUUCUAAGUUGGUGAAUUUUCCUAGAAAAUUUGAAAACUAUAAAAAAGUCUUCUAUGAUUUGAAUUUGGCAAAUAUAUGGACUUUUUAAUAUUUUGAAUGAUGCUUUGAAAUAAAACAAAGAUGUAAUUGUAUUCCUACCUUGUGAAAUACUGUAAUUCUUUUUAUAUAAUAGGCAUUGUUGAAAAUUGAAAAACAGAAGUAAAGGAUCAAUCUAGUGGAUAAUUGUCCACAUAAUUCUAAAUAUUUCAUUUCAUAAAAAUUUGAGUGUGCAGGUUCAAUUUUUCGGAUUUAUCUCAUAACUGACUUGGACAUACAGAGACAUAUAUCCCUUACUACCUUUUUUUGUCUCG
rnacentral:lncRNA from 1 species